UACAGAGGUCUCAAGCGUUGUUCGGAUUCAUUGGGCGUAAAGGGUGCGUAGGCGGCGCGGUAAGUCGGGUGUGAAAUCUCGGAGCUUAACUCCGAAACUGCAUUCGAUACUGCCGUGCUUGAGGACUGGAGAGGAGACUGGAAUUUACGGUGUAGCGGUGAAAUGCGUAGAUAUCGUAAGGAAGACCAGUGGCGGAAGGCGGGUCUCUGGACGGUUCCUGACGCUGAGGCAGCGUAGGUCAGGG
rnacentral:rRNA from 1 species